UAAGUUUCAACAACGGAUCUCUUGGCUCUCGCAUCGAUGAAGAACGCAGCGAAAUGCGAUAAGUAAUGUGAAUUGCAGAAUUCAGUGAAUCAUCGAAUCUUUGAACGCACCUUGCGCUCCUUGGUAUUCCUUGGAGCAUGCCUGUUUGAGCAUCAUGA
rnacentral:rRNA from 1 species